AUUGAACGCUGGCGGCAUGCCUUACACAUGCAAGUCGAACGGCAGCACGGGAGCUUGCUCCUGGUGGCGAGUGGCGAACGGGUGAGUAAUACAUCGGAACGUGCCCAGUAGUGGGGGAUAGCCCGGCGAAAGCCGGAUUAAUACCGCAUACGACCUACGGGUGAAAGCGGGGGACCGUAAGGCCUCGCGCUAUUGGAGCGGCCGACGUCUGAGUAGCUUGUUGGUGGGGUAAAAGCCCAACAAGGCGACGAUCAGUAGCUGGUCUGAGAGGACGAUCAGCCACACUGGGACUGAGACACGGCCCAGACACCUACGGGAGGCAGCAGUGGGGAAUUUUGGACAAUGGGGGCAACCCUGAUCCAGCAAUGCCGCGUGUGCGAAGAAGGCCUUCGGGUUGUAAAGCACUUUUGUCAGGGAAGAAAUCUUUCAGGCUAAUACCCUUGGAAGGAUGACGGUACCUGAAGAAUAAGCACCGGCUAACUACGUGCCAGCCGCCGCGGUAA
rnacentral:rRNA from 1 species